UGAUUUAGCAGUAUAGCUCUGGCAGUGAAUGAAUUAAGUUCCUAACAAGCAAAAUGUUGAAAGUGCGCAGCGGUCUAUCUAUAAUUCAGGCGCAAAAAGCAGCCCUCUCUGUCAGCAGUCCGCUGCGUUGGCAGACCACAGCAGCUGUAGCAGAGCCCAGAAAUGAUGCAGAGUGGCUA